rnacentral:rRNA from 1 species
UACGUAGGGUGCGAGCGUUGUCCGGAAUUAUUGGGCGUAAAGAGCUCGUAGGUGGCGGGUCACGUCGGGUGUGAAAGCCCGGGGCUUAACUCCGGGUCUGCAUUCGAUACGGGUCUGCUGGGGUCCGGCAGGGGAGACCGGAAUUCCUGGUGUAGCGGUGAAAUGCGCAGAUAUCAGGAGGAACACCGGUGGCGAAGGCGGGUCUCUGGGCCGGUACCGACGCUGAGGAGCGAAAGCGUGGGGAGCGAACAGG